GGAGGGGGCUAGCGUUGUUCGGAAUCAUUGGGCGUAAAGGGCGCGUAGGCGGCCAUUCAAGUCGGACGUGAAAUCCCUCGGCUCAACCGGGGAACUGCGUCCGAUACUGUUCGGCUUGAGUCCUGGAGAGGGUAAUGGAAUUCCCAGUGUAGCGGUGAAAUGCGUAGAUACUGGGAGGAACACCAGUGGCGAAGGCGGUUACCUGGACAGGUACUGACGCUGAGACACGAAAGCGUGGGGAGCAAACGGGAUUAGAUACCCCGGUAGUCCACGCUGUAAACGGUGCGCACUAGGUGUGGGGGGUAUCGACCCCUCCCGUGCCGCAGUCAACACAUUAAGUGCGCCGCCUGGGGAGUACGGCCGCAAGGUUG
rnacentral:rRNA from 1 species